rnacentral:lncRNA from 1 species
AAAUUUGACAGUGAUUGAGCGAUUUGUAUUUAAGUUCAUGUUUAAACUCUGGAAAUGUUUUGAUUUUGAAUUAUUUUAGGAGUAUUUAUUAUUUUUAAUAAAAUAGUUAUGAGUUCAGCCAGCAAGGUUGGUGAAAUAUUCACCGCCGCAGGACAAGCUUUUAAUAGAUUAGGAGAUCUAACAAUGCAAUUGCAUCCUAAUGCAGAAUCUCCUACAGG